CCUACGGGAUGCUGCAGUGAGGAAUUUUGCGCAAUGGGAGCAAUCCUGACGCAGCAACGCCGCGUGGGUGAUGAAGGCCUUCGGGUCGUAAAGCCCUGUCAGGUGGGAAGAAUGUCCCGGGACUGAACAGGUUCCGGGAGUGACGGUACCACCAGAGGAAGCACCGGCUAACUCCGUGCCAGCAGCCGCGGUAAUACGGAGGGUGCAAGCGUUAUUCGGAAUUACUGGGCGUAAAGCGCGUGUAGGCGGUCCCGCAAGUCUGAUGGGAAAGCCCCGGGCUUAACCCGGGAAGUGCAUUGGAAACUGGGGGACUUGAGUACCGGAGAGGAUGGGGGAAUUCCCGGUGUAGAGGUGAAAUUCGUAGAGAUCGGGAGGAAUAUCAGUGGCGAAGGCGCCCAUCUGGACGGUAACUGACGCUGAGACGCGAAAGCGUGGGGAGCAAACA
rnacentral:rRNA from 1 species